GAUGAACGCUGGCGGCGUGCCUAAUACAUGCAAGUCGAGCGAACAGACGAGGAGCUUGCUCCUCUGACGUUAGCGGCGGACGGGUGAGUAACACGUGGAUAACCUACCUAUAAGACUGGGAUAACUUCGGGAAACCGGAGCUAAUACCGGAUAAUAUAUUGAACCGCAUGGUUCAAUAGUGAAAGACGGUUUUGCUGUCACUUAUAGAUGGAUCCGCGCCGCAUUAGCUAGUUGGUAAGGUAACGGCUUACCAAGGCAACGAUGCGUAGCCGACCUGGGAGGGUGAUCGGCCAAACUGGAACUGAGACACGGUCCAGACUCCUACGGGAGGCAGCAGUAGGGAAUCUUCCGCAAUGGGCGAAAGCCUGACGGAGCAACGCCGCGUGAGUGAUGAAGGUCUUCGGAUCGUAAAACUCUGUUAUUAGGGAAGAACAAAUGUGUAAGUAACAAUGCACGUCUUGACGGUACCUAAUCAGAAAGCCACGGCUAACUACGUGC
rnacentral:rRNA from 1 species